CCUACGGGGGGCUGCAGUGGGGAAUAUUGGACAAUGGGGGCAACCCUGAUCCAGCCAUGCCGCGUGUGUGAAGAAGGCCCUCGGGUUGUAAAGCACUUUCAGUGAGGAAGAACGCCUGGUGGUUAAUACCCAUCAGGAAAGACAUCACUCACAGAAGAAGCACCGGCUAACUCCGUGCCAGCAGCCGCGGUAAUACGGAGGGUGCGAGCGUUAAUCGGAAUUACUGGGCGUAAAGCGCGCGUAGGUGGCUUGAUAAGCCGGUUGUGAAAGCCCCGGGCGCAACCUGGGAACGGCAUCCGGAACUGUCAAGCUAGAGUGCAGGAGAGGAAGGUAGAAUUCCCGGUGUAGCGGUGAAAUGCGUAGAGAUCGGGAGGAAUACCAGUGGCGAAGGCGGCCUUCUGGACUGACACUGACACUGAGGUGCGAAGGCGUGGGUAGCGAACAGGAUUAGAUACCCCAGUAGUC
rnacentral:rRNA from 1 species